rnacentral:rRNA from 1 species
GACGAACGCUGGCGGCGUGCUUAACACAUGCAAGUCGAACGAAGUGGCGCACGGGUGAGUAACGCGUAAUCAACCUGCCCUUCAGAGGGGAACAACAGUUGGAAACGACUGCUAAUACCUCAUAGUGAAGGAGGGGAUUGCGUCUGAUUAGCUAGUUGGAGGGGUAACGGCCCACCAAGGCGAUGAUCAGUAGCCGGUCUGGGGGGGUGAACGGCCACAAUGGGAAUGGGACACGGCCCAGACUCCUACGGGAGGGAGCAGUGGGGAAUCUUCCGCAAUGGGCGAAAGUCUGACGGAGCAACGGCGCGUGGGUGAUGACGGCCUUCGGGUUGGAAAGCUCUGUUAAUCGGGACGCGUUACCGGAAUAGAAAGCCACGGCUAACUACGUGCCAGCAGCCGCGGUAAUUC